GGCGGCAUAGCCAAGAGGCUAAGGCAGCGGUCUGCAAAACCGUUAUUCACCGGUUCGAAUCCGGUUGCCGCCUCCA
rnacentral:tRNA from 4 species